rnacentral:rRNA from 1 species
UACGUAGGGGGCGAGCGUUGUCCGGAAUCAUUGGGCGUAAAGGGCGUGUAGGUGGUCAGAUAAGUCAGAUGUGAAAACUUGAGGCUCAACUUCAAGCCUGCAUCUGAAACUGUCUGACUUGAGGACAGGAGAGGAAAGUGGAAUUCCAAGUGUAGCGGUGAAAUGCGUAGAGAUUUGGAAGAACACCAGUGGCGAAGGCGACUUUCUGGACUGUUCCUGACACUGAGACGCGAAAGCUAGGGGAGCGAAC